UGCAGGUAGAGAGUUAGUAGGAAAUCUGGGGUAUGAUAUACAAGGAAAAUAGAAACGCUUCAGUUUCAGAGGUUCGGUCCUCAAGUCGCAACCUCUCGGCCUUCUUCUCUCUUCUCAAACCACAACCGUGCAUUGUCCACGACUCCACGAUUCAUGCUGCCAACACCAAAGUAACCCACCACCGUGUUGCUAAUGUCAUGGACGGCUCCUACUACCAAAGCAACACCACCGCCGCAGUCUUUUAUAGAGACAUAAAAACAAACUUUCUAAUUUGUGGUGAAUUCAUCCGACUAAAGCUUGAGUAGCUCAUUAUGGCUUUCUUUAAGAUUCUCUUCUCCCCAUUUCUAGUUUUGGAUUUGGCCAACAAUUUUCAAGAACUAAUUUUAUAGAUGAAGUUGUUAUUCUGAGAUGGAGGCCUCUCAGGCAUCUUUGAACGUGGAAAGAGGUGUUCGGAUUCAGGUUCCAUUGGUAAGUUCUUUCCAUUCACUUUUGGUCAUUCGACAUUUUUAUCCAGCCCAUGCGUUUUUCGAGAAACCCAUAUUGAAUUAUUGGUGAAUUUACUGUGUUUGAUCGCAUCUUUGGAAUAUGAUGAAUAGGGAAUCCGUAUGUGGGGUUUAGAGGAUGGAAUAUGGAAUCCUUUUUCAGUUCGGAGAUGGAUAGGUUGGAUAUCGGAUUUAUUGGUUUUUUUGAAGAUGGAUAUAUUCAAGUCUCUUGCUUUAGAGAGGAAAUAGAUCGGUUCUCUUAUUUGGUUGGGGAGUAAUAAAACUUGGCGUUUAGGCGAAUGAUCUCAACUUUUGCUUCGCUUAGAGUUGGUUUUAGGUACAGUUUUAAUCUUCUGAGUGCUUAAGCCCUAAAAACUUUUGCUCCGCUAGACAGACUAGAGAACCGUUUCCCUACUCGGCUGCCUUUAACAAAACUCCCGUUUAUUUAUCCCUUUGUACAUUGAUUUUUAGAGUUCCAUGCAAACUAAUUUUUGCCGGAUUCAAGUAUUUUGAGUUAUGAUUAUAGUCAUUUUUGUGAUUUUGUUUAUUUUCUUUCUUCCUGGGGUGGUUCAGAUCCAAUGAAGACCAUUGUUAUGAAGAGGGUUUGAAAUAACGCAAAGCAUGCAUGGUAGGAAGUACAAAAAAACUGAAAGGUCAUCUUUCAAAUUGCGAGUUCAAGAAAAUUGGAACAUAUCAUAUUUUUCCUCUUUUCAUUUUCUCACUUUAUUUUUUUUUUCAUUUGGAACAUAUUUUAGUAUUUUAUUAAUAUUUUGAAUUGUUUAACUUAUAUUUGCAAUUCUUGGUGGUGGUAUUGUUUGGUUCAAUUGCUGAUAUUGUUGGGAAAUAUAUAGCAUUUAGGGCUUUUGGUCAGUAAGUAAGAAAAGUUAUCCAUCCUUGAAGUUUUGAUUUUAAGAGUUUGUUUUGUUUUUGUUUGGUUUGAUUGCAGGCACAUGGGAGCUCUUUCACACAAUUGCAUUUCUUAUUUAAUUUUCUAUUUUUGUAUGGAAUUUUUACUAGAAUUAAGCAAAACCUGCCAAAAUACGAAGUUAAGAAAUGCAAGAAAAGAAAACUCUUCUUAUACGAUUAAUCUAUACAUUCACUAUAUUUUAUUUUCUGAAAGUUAUCUUUUUUUUUGUCAUCAUAAAAGGAUCAGCUAUCUUGAUAAUUUCACUCCUUGGCAACAUGCUACUUUCUGUUGCUUUUAGGGUCAAACUUUGUUCUAGAUGUAAAUGAUAGCCCUAGAGAACCUAUGCUUAUGGAUAUUAAUCAAAACCUAAUGUAAAUUUCAUCUUAGUCUCAAAAGGUGUAGUGGCUAAUGUUGAUUGAAGAUGGAGAGAGAAGGAUUCUAUUGUAGAACAUGACCAUAGCAACCAAAUGGGUAGUUCUCUCUCUCUCUCUCACUCACUACAAGAAAAAACGGUCACAGCCGGCCGUCUUUGAGAUCGCCGCUAUAGGGACAUCUAAGGCGGCGGGUUUUCAAAGACCGCCGCCUACAUUCGUUUUAAAAUCUGGCGCGGCGGUUUUAAUGUACAUUCGGCGGAUUUUUCGUGAACCGGAAUUAAACCGGGUUAAUCUUAUAAUGGACCGACGUGGAGAAACUUAUGGAGGAAAAAUUUUCUUUCUCCUGCGCGCUUUCUCCCGCGCACGAAUUCCUCUUCCUGUUCGACCAAAAAAGAAGUUCUGUUCUCUGUUUGUCCAUAGAGAACCUUGCUAAGAAAUUUACAAGACAUAAGUUAUUCUUAUUCUUCAUGAGCAAGACAGAAGUUCUUCCAGCAGAUAAAUUUUGAAGAAUAAGAUAAGUUAUUCUUGCGAUGAAGUAAAGUUGAAGUUCCAAAAAUGGAGGAGAAAAGAGGCGG